GAUCCUGGCUCAGGAUGAACGCUAGCUACAGGCUUAGCACAUGCAAGUCGAGGGGCAGCAUGGUCUUAGCUUGCUAAGGCCGAUGGCGACCGGCGCACGGGUGAGUAACGCGUAUCCAACCUGCCUUACACUCUUGUACAGCCUUCUGAAAGGGAGAUUAAUACAAGAUGUUAUCAUGAGUAAGCAUUUUCGCAUGAUUAAAGGUUUACCGGUGUAAGAUGGGGAUGCG
rnacentral:rRNA from 1 species